ensembl:processed_transcript
UACAUACCGAAAUUUCUGCCGCCGAGGACAGGACAUAAUACAAAACAUAAGACAAACACGUCUGGUUUCCAAGCAACAGAGCCAGUCUGAACGCACCCUGAGGGAGGUUUUUCGUUUUUUUCGGGGUUCAUCUCGAGGAGAUUUCCUUGUGGUAUUUGACUCCUCUGACCUCCCUCAAAAGGUCUGGAUUUGCGUACCUUGGGAAAGCAGGAAUUUUUUUGCGCCCGAGCUGGUGCAAGGAUCUUAUGAAGGGGAUGCAUCUGAAACAUCUCUAUUAUCAGUCUGACAGCGGCUCGCUCUCCUCAAGACAGCAGUCCAGAAACUGCAACAAGAGGCCCGAGAUCCUCUUGAUUAUUUUUAAUGGUCUGUUUUACACCCUUUCAAAGACCCUUUAUUAAUCUGGGGUCGCCACAGCGGAAUGAACCGCCAACUUAUCCAGCAUAUGUUUUACUCAGCGGAUGCCCUUCCAGCCGCAACCCAUCACUGGGAAACAUCCAUACAUACUCAAUUACCCAAUUCACCUAUAGCGCAUGUCUUUGGACUUGUGGGGGAAACCAGAGCACCCAGAGGAAACCCACGCAAACACGGGAAGAACAUGCAAACUCCACACUGAAACACCAACUGACCCAGCAGAGGCUCAAACCAGCAACCUUCUUGCUGUGAGGCGACUGUGCUACGCAAAAGAUGAUGACAUUUAAAAGAGAACAAAAUCCAUGUCUGUUCUCUGACUGUUAACAAUCUGUAAUUGUCAAUUGUUAAUAACAGACGUUCAAGCAUUCUGCC